UACGAAGGGGACUAGCGUUGUUCGGAUUUACUGGGCGUAAAGCGCGCGUAGGCGGAUCGCUAAGUCAGGGGUGAAAGCCCAGGGCUCAACCCUGGAAUGGCCUUUGAUACUGGACGUCUCGAGACCGGAAGAGGUUGGUGGAACUGCGAGUGUAGAGGUGAAAUUCGUAGAUAUUCGCAAGAACACCAGUGGCGAAGGCGGCCAACUGGUCCGGUUCUGACGCUGAGGCGCGAAAGCGUGGGGAGCAAACAGG
rnacentral:rRNA from 1 species